rnacentral:rRNA from 1 species
CUUUUUCGGAGAGUUUGAUCCUGGCUCAGGACGAACGCUGGCGGCGUGCCUAAUACAUGCAAGUCGAGCGAACAGAAGGGAGCUUGCUCCCGGAUGUUAG